rnacentral:rRNA from 1 species
UUCCGUGGCUAUACAGAUGUGGAAACGCCUUGCUCCAUCCCGAACCAAGAAGCUAAGCACAUCGUGGCUGAUGAUACU